UGCCACCAACAUGGAGACUUUGUACCGUGUCCCAUUCUUAGUACUUAAAUUUCCCAACCUGAAACUGAAGAAGCCGCCCUGGCUGCACAUACCAUUGGCCAUGACUAUGUAUGCUCUGGUGAAGGUGUCUUACUUCCUCAUCACUAGAGGAAUAACUUAUGAUGUUAUUGUUGAACCUCCAAGUGUUGGCUCUAUGACUGAUGAAUAUGGGUAUCAGAGGCCAGUAGCUUUCUUGGCCUACAGAGUAAAUGGGCAAUAUAUUAUGCAAAGACUUGCAUCCAGCUUCCUGUUUACAAUGGGAAGUUUAAAUUUCAUAAUCCUGGACCCAUCGAAUGCACCAAAUAUCCCAAAACUCAAUAGAUUUCUUCUUCUAUUCAUUGGAUUCGUAUGUGUCCUAUUAAAUUUUUUCAUGGCUAGAGUAUUCAUGAGAAUGAAACUGCCAGGCUAUUUGAUGGGUUAGAGUGCUUUUGAGAAGAAAUCAGAAGGAUUGUGGAUACUGGAUUUGCUCCUGUCAAUGAAGUUUUAAAGGCUGUACCAAUCCUCCAGUAUGACAUGUGGAAAAGAAUGAAGAGCAGCAGUAAAAGAAAUAUCUAGUGAAAAAACAGGAAGUGUAUUGAAGCUUGCACUAGAAUUUCUUCUUGGUAUUAAAGAGACAAUUUUAUUAAGGUAUUUUUUUUUUCCUGCUGUCCUGUUGCUAUACCAAUUAUGUUUAGUGGCAUUUUCUUCUUAGUUUUUAAUUUCUUACUCCAUAUCUACAACUAUAGUAUCAAAUAAUUAUUUUUUACAACCCCCUUAACAUUUUUUGG